GCAGCUCCCAAAAGCUGCAGCAUGUUCCCCCUCUGGCUUCUAUGCGGAGGCCAGGCCACGCAGCUCUGCAUACCGCCCCAUCUGGAGGCGCUGCCCCUGAAGCUCCCAUUGGCCUUGUUUGCUGGCCAACAGGAGCUGUGGGGGCAGCUCUUGGGGCGGGGGCAGCAUGUGAAGCAGAGCCGCGUAGAGCAAGCCCCCAUCCCUGGUCCCUGGCAGGAGCUCGAGGACUAGAUUAAAACAUUUGAAGGGUUGGAUGCAGCCCCCGAGCCAUAGUUUGCCCACCCCUGCCCUAGAGUCUAAACAAAUAUAUCUCACUUGCUAUUAAUACUUUAGUAUCUUUUGCUCUAAAUACAAAGUCCUGGGAAAUAUUUUCUGUUAGAGAGAUCUCUCACUAAGCUGGAGGGUAGGCAGUUGUUUAUUCAUAAUCCUCAUGCCCACCUCUCCUUCAUAAAACUGAAUCCCUUAGAAACUCUCCAUACAGGCAUGUAGUAAGGUGGGUGCUUCAUCUGUUGGACUUUCACACACACAGCAUAUGGUGAAAUUUCACAAUCACAAAAGAAUGUACUAGUGCAAAGUAGAUUCUAUGGCAAUGACCUCAGUUGUGCAUUUACAAAUAGAGCCCUGUGACACUCCAAAAAAUAUUUUAAAUAUAAAAACAGACAGGCCCUCAUAAGGUCUUGCAACUUGAGAAGUGAUACAAAUCACAUUAUCUUUCUUUUGGGCCCAAAUCUGCACUGCACUGAGGUCAAUAAGAGCAGCCCUGAAUCCCUUCAGAGGUUUAUAUCCAAAGCAGCAUACCAUUUUUAUCUACAGACUGUAGAUCAGUGCUGGUUACUCCUGGAAGAAUACCUCCUUUGGAUUUAAUUAUUUUGAACAAUAUUCUUGAGGCUACAAUCCCCUCAUAGGUUGCAUCAGGUUUGUUUGUUCUGGGGGGCUUUUUGGUGGGGGGAUGGAAUGGAGUCUUGUUUUGUUUUUUUUAAAGAUCUCCCUCCCCUAUUAGAGAAAGAGGCAGAUCACAUCAGCAGGCCUAGACUUUGUUGUGCGCAUGGAACAGGUCAGUAUUUGGGGGGGGAGGGGGAAGAGAAGAGAAACAAAAAUAAAUACUGUUACAUCAAAUUGCAUUACCAGCCACAAUCACCCUUGAAGAGGAAUUCUUUGCCUUCAUCAAAAGGACAGCGCAUCAGAUUAUGAGUAGGGGAGUAAAGGGAUCAUUUCCUACCCCCCACCUUCUCUUGACUGAUUAGGAAUUACCUUUUCCUAGCUUAAGAGAGACUGUACAAGUAUAGGGUGAUGCUUUAUUUAAAAAAAACACUCCCCCUCACCAGUUUUAGUCUCUCCAGUAAGGAUUUGAAAGUCAGAGCUAAUAUUCUUACCCAUGUGCCGGAUGGGUUGCUUCUGAUCCACUCAUCUUUGUUCAGGUAAAGACACUCAAAGCAGCAAAUACAGACAACAAAAACUCUAAAAACCUAAAGUGAAUAGCGUCAAUUCUUUAGAAUUUCAAUUAUUCUUCCUUAUUCUAUUCUGUCUUCACAUUCAUUAGCAUCUUUUCAACUCCUACAAAGCUGCUGGAGUUCAUCUUUCAUCCAAAAUAGCCAUGCAAGGGCACAAAAUGGUGUAAAAACAUUUUUUUGGUCAAAGUAACUUGCUUUCAGAAUUCAACCUGCAUUUUAAUUCUGAUCAAUAUGGGUAUGAAAGGCUGCCAGCAUCCUGUGUUUCUUUUCUAACUGUUGUUUGGCUCCUACCAGCAUGCUUGGAAGAGCUUUCCUGGGGUCAAUUGCCAUCUCUCAAAUCAACAGUCCUUGUUUCAUUAAGCCUAAGGCAUGCCUUCACUAAUGUCCACAGCUGUGCUGCUGUAUUGUAGAUGGGUUCCUACACUUAAAAAAGAGGUUUUUGUGUUGAUGCAGUUAGCGCACCUCUCAGAGAUGGUAGCUAGGUCAACAGAAGAAUUCUAGCUGUAUCUGUAGUGUGGGUUGAUCACACUAUGUUUGUUGCUUCUCACUUUCUCAUGCCUAAACAAUUGUUUUUGUAUAUUAUGUUUGUCAUGUCUUUGGGCUACACUAUUUUUCUUUCUUGCACUUGUGGAGUAUCAUGAUGCUACAUGAGUAUUAACACUUGGCUUUUUGCAAGAGUCUGGGAACACCGUUAUCUCCUCAUUUCAUAUCCUCUCUCAUACUCUUUUCUGUUUAUUUUCUGUCUGCUUUUACUAUUAGAAACUGUGUCACAGAUGUCUUUGUAGAAGAACCUCUGACUAUAGCCCAGGAAAUAGAGAGGACUGGAAUAAUUCACAAUUUUCUCAGUUUGCUCACUCCAACUUCUAUAAGAUCUUUGUAUUUUCAUAAUUUGCAAAACACAGCCAGACAAGGCUCAUGAAGCCCCUAAACUAAAAGGAGCCAACCGUUCCCUGGAGUAGAACUGGAAAAGCAGAUCAUUGUAAAAGCUGAACCUUAUUUGCAUCAAUACUCUUGUUAUGGUGGCUGCUUUUCCACUCUUUGAGGCUAUUAUCUUUGACUUGAACUAAACCUAAGCAAACCAAGAGAUGUGGGUAGCCUUCUGAGACUUCACUUUUGGCUUUAUAUUAGGAGGUGGCAGCAUAUUGAGAGCAUCAUCUGCAACCCUUCUCAGCAAGAACUGUCGGAGUCUCAAACCCAAGUUACCUGAAUGCUGCUAUACUAACAUCCAACCCCCUGCAUCACUAGCAGGAGCCACAUUUUAACCUCAAAUCAUAAGGCUUCUGACAGUUAAUGGUCAACAAUUUCAUUCCAGCAGGAGAGCACUUCUGAAUGUCUGUCUUUAAAACGUGUGUGUAUAUAUACAUUCCAUAGAGAACUGUAAAAAAACAUUACAUUGUUUAAUGUGGUGAAACUAGACAUUUAAGAGCUUCCCUCCAGCAGCUUCACCCACAAUCCCAGCUCUUUAAAUAACUGCACCAUGCAAUACCGUCUGCAUUUCAUAGCUAAACUCCCACUCUGCUCAUUUACAAGUAACAGCAGUAGGUGCCAUCUUACACAUCCUUCCUCCACCUGUGUAUUUCAGACCCUGUUAUACUCAUCCAGUGAGAGACUGAUUAUUAUUGGCUAAUUCUGAAAUACAGCAAGGCACUCUGAUGUAUAUUAGAGGAAGUAUUUAUGCAUGCAUAAUCAGGAUACAAGUCCAACCCCUUCCUACAACCACCAUUCUCAUUCUGAAUAUUAUAGGCUGCAAUGGUAUCUCAACGAGAGCCCCGGUGAAAGGGUCUGGUUUACAAAAGCAACAACACAUAAAGAUGAAGGUCAAACUCCCUUCCAGCAUCUGUCAUUAUAAAAUCGGUUUUACUUCCAUUCUUUAGUCUUCAGUGCUUUACAGAAGCAGUUUCCUCCCCACAGGAAACAAUUAUUUCUCUUCUUCUCCAUCAUAUCUGAAAGUAGCAUUGUAUACCAUAAAAUGUAUAAGUUAAAAUCAGCAGUAAUGUCCACAGAGACAUGGCAGAGAAAUCACUUUUAAAAAUACCUUCUCAGUCAAAGAGGAGGUAAGAGCCAAGGCGAGAAUCUGUCACCAUUUUACCUACCCACCCACACCCUGCAAGUAUCAGGGAUCUGCUCUCAAAGAACACAUAGUUCAACUUGUCUGCUGUCCCUUGCAAUGCAGGAGGGUAGGAUCUUGGGCCCAGGCAGUUUAUGUCACAACUAAAAGAUUUUU